rnacentral:tRNA from 1 species
GCUAGGUUAUCUUAGUGGUUAGAGCUUAGGUCUUGAGACCGGAAGGUCCCGGGAUCGAAUCCUGCAAGCAGCU